rnacentral:lncRNA from 1 species
GGAACAUUUGCUGGGCGGUGAACAGCUUCAAACCGUUUAAAUCGCCAGGUCCAGACAAGCUGAUCCCAGCUCAACUUCAGAGAGCUGGGGACCAACCUAUCCGCUGGCUACAAUGUAUCUUCAAAAAAAAAAUCGAAAGGUAGGAAAGAUUCCUAAAGCAUGGCUCAAGGCAUAAAUGAAGACUCAUCCCGAAAUCGGGAAAAGCCUCCUUCUCGACGGCAAAGGACUUCAGACCGAUUAGUCUGACAUUCUUUCUCCUAAAAACAUUCGAAAGAACGGUCUACAUCUGAGGACAAUCAUCAACCCUCAGAUGCUGUCAGACACACAACACGCAUACCGGAAAGGUAAAUCCACGGAAACGGCC